GAGCGAAAGGGAAUACGGUUCCAAUUCCGUAACCUGUUGAGUGUACGCUUUUAAGAUUGGAUAUUAACAUUUUAAGAUGARUAUUCAUCCUGGUAACAGGAACUGCCGUAGAGACGCCGUCGGGAUAUACCGAAAGAGUUUUCUUUUCUGUUUCAUAGACAUACUACCAUGGAAGUCUUUCGCAGAGAGAUAUGGUAAAAAGUCUAGAAGAGCAUGACAUUUACUGUUGUGUCGGUAUUCUCCCUUCGGACCUUGAAAAUCUAUGGAAGGGUUACGCAAAUUCUCAACAGACCGUACCGAUAUCCGCAGCUGGUCUCCA
rnacentral:rRNA from 1 species